GGAGAUGUCGGUCAAUACUGCGGGGCUUGAGGACAGCAGAGGAAGGUGGAAUUCCCGGUGUAGUGGUGAAAUGCGUAGAUAUCGGGAGGAACACCCGUGGCGAAGGCGGCCUUCUGGGCUGUUCCAGACGCUGAAGGCGAAAGCUAGGGGAGCGAACGGGAUUAGAUACCCCGGUAGUCCUAGCUGUAAACGAUGGAUGCUGGGUGUGGGGGGUGUAAAUUCCCUCUGUGCCGAAGCAAACGCGUUAAGCAUCCCGCCUGGGGACUACGGCCGCAAGGCUAAAACUCAAACGAAUUGACGGGGGCCCGCACAAGCAGCGGAGCGUGUGGUUUAAUUCGAUGCUACACGAAGAACCUUACCUGGGUUUGACAUGCACGUGGUAGGGAACCGAAAGGGGACCGACCUUCGGGAGCGUGCACAGGUGCUGCAUGGCUGUCGUCAGCUCGUGCCGUGAGGUGUCGGGUUAAGUCCCGUAACGAGCGCAACCCUUGCCCUUAGUUACAAGUGUCUAAGGGGACUGCCCGGGACAACUGGGAGGAAGGUGGGGAUGACGUCAAGUCAGCAUGGCCUUUAUAUCCAGGGCUACACACACGCUACAAUGGCCGGUACAAUAGGUUGCGAAGUCGUGAGGCGGAGCCAAUCCUCAAAGCCGGUCUCAGUUCGAAUUGCAGUCUGCAACUCGACUGCAUGAAGCUGGAGUUGCUAGUAAUCGCAGGUCAGCUAUACUGCGGUGAUACGUUCCCGGGCCUUGUACACACCGCCCGUCACGUCAUGGAAGCUGGCAACGCCUGAAGCCGGUGAGCUAACCCGAAAGGGAGGCAGCCGUCGAGGGUGGGGCUGGUAACUGGGACGAAGUC
rnacentral:rRNA from 1 species